AGGUAAGCUACUAAGAGCGAAUGGUGGAUGCCUUGACUGGUAAAGGCGAUGAAGGACGUACUAGACUGCGAUAAGCUACGGGGAGCUGUCAAGAAGCUUUGAUCCGUAGAUUUCCGAAUGGGGCAACCCAAUGUAUAGAGAUAUACAUUACCUAUAUAGGAGCGAACGAGGGGAAUUGAAACAUCUUAGUACCCUCAGGAAAAGAAAUCAAUAGAGAUUGCGUCAGUAGCGGCGAGCGAAAGCGCAAGAGGGCAAACCCAGUGCUUGCACUGGGGGUUGUAGGACUGCAAUGUGCAAGAGCUGAGUUUAGCAGAACAUUCUGGAAAGUAUAGCCAUAGAGGGUGAUAGUCCCGUAUGCGAAAAACAAAGCUUAGCUAGCAGUAUCCUGAGUAGGGCGGGACACGAGGAAUCCUGUCUGAAUCCGGGUCGACCACGAUCCAACCCUAAAUACUAAUACCAGAUCGAUAGUGCACAAGUACCGUGAGGGAAAGGUGAAAAGAACUGAGGUGAUCAGAGUGAAAUAGAACCUGAAACCAUUUGCUUACAAUCAUUCAGAGCACUAUGUAGCAAUACAGUGUGAUGGACUGCCUUUUGCAUAAUGAGCCUGCGAGUUGUGGUGUCUGGCAAGGUUAAGCAAACGCGAAGCCGUAGCGAAAGCGAGUCUGAAUAGGGCGCUUAGUCAGAUGCUGCAGACCCGAAACGAAGUGAUCUAUCCAUGAGCAAGUUGAAGCUAGUGUAAGAACUAGUGGAGGACUGAACCCAUAGGCGUUGAAAAGCCCCGGGAUGACUUGUGGAUAGGGGUGAAAGGCCAAUCAAACUUCGUGAUAGCUGGUUCUCUCCGAAAUAUAUUUAGGUAUAGCGUUGUGUCGUAAUAUAAGGGGGUAGAGCACUGAAUGGGCUAGGGCAUACACCAAUGUACCAAACCCUAUCAAACUCCGAAUACCUUAUAUGUAAUCACAGCAGUCAGGCGGCGAGUGAUAAAAUCCGUCGUCAAGAGGGAAACAACCCAGACUACCAGCUAAGGUCCCUAAAUCUUACUUAAGUGGAAAACGAUGUGAAGUUACUUAAACAACCAGGAGGUUGGCUUAGAAGCAGCCAUCCUUUAAAGAAAGCGUAAUAGCUCACUGGUCUAGUGAUUUUGCGCGGAAAAUAUAACGGGGCUAAAGUAAGUACCGAAGCUGUAGACUUGCACACAACUUAGAUUAUUUAAGUUUAGAAUAAGUAGUUUAAGUUGUGUGCAAGUGGUAGGAGAGCGUUCUAUUUGCGUCGAAGGUAUACCGGUAAGGAGUGCUGGAGCGAAUAGAAGUGAGCAUGCAGGCAUGAGUAGCGAUAAUUAAUGUGAGAAUCAUUAACGCCGUAAACCCAAGGUUUCCUACGCGAUGCUCGUCAUCGUAGGGUUAGUCGGGUCCUAAGUCGAGUCCGAAAGGGGUAGACGAUGGCAAAUUGGUUAAUAUUCCAAUACCAACAUUAGUGUGCGAUGGAAGGACGCUUAGGGCUAAGGGGGCUAGCGGAUGGAAGUGCUAGUCUAAGGUCGUAGGAGGU
rnacentral:rRNA from 1 species